UUUCAGCAACAAGCUUAAAUCUCACAGAAAAGUUCCACUACCCUAAUUAAUUAAAGACAAGCCAAGUGUUACCUCCAGCCUGCACUGGUGCAUCAUUAAGCAGUCUAAUUAAUACCAGGACAUAUUGAAACAAGAGAGCAAAUUCAGUUUUCUAAGUGGAUUCAGCAGGAGUCGCCACUCCUGAUGAUGAGAUGUGACCUGUUUUAAUCACUGCUGUCCACUGUCAGGUGAAAGUUCUGAAACGCAGCCGUGAGAUGAAUAGCAAUGACACGUUUUGGGCAGAGCACUGCAAAAUCAGGCUGCGAAAGACGGCGCUGGCAGAGGUGAUCCUGAGAGUGUCACCAGCCUCUGUCCUCGUGGUUUUCUCCAUUGGUACUUGCUGUAAUUCAUAUGGAAAAAAAAAAAACAUGGAAUCACGGAAUGGCUCAGGUUAGAUGGGACCCUAAAGUCCACCCGGUUCCAACCCCUGCUGUGGGCAGGGACAUCAUCCUCCAGCUCAGGCUGCCCAGGGCCCCAUCCAGCUUGGCCUGGAGCACCUCCAGGGAUGGGGCACCCACAGCCUCCCUGGGCAACAAGAAACGUGAAUGGAAGUUGUGUGCGGGUGUGAGAAAGGCAGCUGGGCUCAGGCCCCAGCCCUGCUGUAUGUCAGCACCCAUUCCAUGACACUGUUGUGCUCUGACCUCUGCCUUGGUUUUGCUGGGACAUGGCUUCUCCACUCUUUGCACCUGGGAACAAACACCUUUGCAAAGGCAAUUUUAGGGAGAAUUAAAGGCUCAUCCGCCUUCCAUCUUAAUUCCUUGUCGUUUAGUUCUCUCAAUAUGAUUUCUACAGUACUGCUUUUGUGCUCAGUGCCUGCCAGCCACUCGAUUUGCCUUGACCUUUCAUGUCUGCACUCUGGCAGUAUUUGUUGUCUUUCUCGAUACUUGAGCUAUUAACAUGUGAAUUACAUCAACUGCUUUUAAUCUUACCUCUUUGUGGUAUUAUGGCAGCUCUGCAUAACACAACACAGUAGUGCAAUGAAUGGUUCAGCUCACUCACUGCGAUGGAAAUGUUUUGUAACUGUUGAUUUUCAUUUUUCUGACCUUUUUAUAAAGGAAUAUAAAACGAUUAUAUUGAGCUGGCCCCUGCAUCUCCUGCAUGUGGGUGAACCUGAAGGCUGGCUGGAAGACAGCAGGGUAGGAGCUCUGUUUUGGGGCUCUGUUAGUAUUUGAUUUUAGAAUAAACUACAGUUUGGUUCCUUGACAACUAAGCAAUGAUUGGAUAUUAGGAAAAACUUCUUCUCUGAAAGAGUGGUGAGGGACCAGCACAGUUUGCUCAGGCAGGUGGUGGAGUCACCAUCCCUGGAGGUGUUCAAGAAGAGGGUGGAUGUGGCACUGAGGGACGUGGUUUAGUGGACAACAUUGAUGGUGGGUGGAGGGUUGGACAGGAUAAUCUUAGUGAUCUUUUCCAACCUCAACGGUUCUGUGAUUCGAUGAUUCUAUGAAGGUGUGGAUGUCUUGAGAAGCCACUGUGUGUGUGGUUAAUUGUGGUGAUACAGAUUCCUGGUGGUGCAGACUGUGUUUCUGAAGAUGUCAGUAAGCAAACAAACCUGGUUCACACACCAUCAUCCUGUGCUCAAGGAUCACUGUAGAAGUGUCACUAGAAAAAAUCACACCAAAAAUAGAAAGAUCUUCUGCAUCAUCACAUCCUUCCCAGGGAACCAUCCAGCAG
ensembl:lncRNA